GUGCUUGCUUUGGUGGCACAUAUACUAAAAUUGGAACAAUACAGAGAAGAUGAGCAUGACCCCUGUACAAGGAAGACAGGCAGAUUUCAUGAAGUGUUCCAUGUUUUU